rnacentral:rRNA from 1 species
GAUGAACGCUAGCGGCGUGCCUAAUACAUGCAAGUCGAGCGAAUGGAUUGAGAGCUUGCUCUUAUGAAGUUAGCGGCGGACGGGUGAGUAACACGUGGGUAACCUGCCCAUAAGACUGGGAUAACUCCGGGAAACCGGGGCUAAUACCGGAUAACAUUUUGAACCGCAUGGUUCGAAAUUGAAAGGCGGCUUCGGCUGUCACUUAUGGAUGGCCCCGCGUCGCAUUAGCGAGUUGGUGAGGUAACGGCUCACCAAGGCAACGAUGCGUAGCCGACCGGAGGGGGUGGUCGGCCACACUGGGGCUGAGACACGGCCCAGACUCCUAAGGGAGGCAGCAGUAGGGAAGCUUCCGACAUGGACGAAAGUCUGACGGAGCAACGCCGCGUGAGUGAUGAAGGCUUUCGGGUCGUAAAACUCUGUUGUUAGGGAAGAACAAGUGCUAGUUGAAUAAGCUGGCACCUUGACGGUACCUAACCAGAAAGCCACGGCUAACUACGUGCCAGCAGCCGCCGUAA